rfam:Gossypium hirsutum cultivar TM-1 unplaced genomic scaffold scaffold2140.1, whole genome shotgun sequence
UGUUAAAAAUUCCAUCCAUUUGUACUGUUAAAAACAGGCACAACUAACAAAAUAAUCAGACAGUGAUAGGUGACAUGCCACGUAUACCUCAUGUUGAUAUACAAAGACCAGUUUUUAACAGCAAAACUGAACGACAUUUUUAACA